AAGAAUACUAACCUGUCAUUGUGAUUCUGUCAUAAUUGGAAUAUGUGAGGAGAGACCCCACCCGGGGCAAUCAAAGGUGCAGUAUUUCGCAAGAGAAUAGCCAAAUCACAGCAAGGGUAGCAUAUGGAAGAAAUUUUAAAAGAAUCUGAGAAUAUGGUGGAAGUGGUCAAUCACUAGUGAGAAUACUUAAGUUCUCUCUUGGCAAGUUUCAAGUAUACCAUACAUCAUUAUUACCCAUAGUAACUAUGAGAUCACGGACUCCUCACUGUGUCCCUCCACUGCAUAAAAGUAGAUGAGAUAUACUGGAUGGACCAGCCUCAAUAUGGAGCUGACCUAAAGUGCUG
rnacentral:lncRNA from 13 species